UACGUAGGGUCCGAGCGUUAUCCGGAAUCAUUGGGCGUAAAGAGCUCGUAGGCGGUUCAGCAAGUCGGCUGUGAAAGUCCGGGGCUCAACCCCGGAAUUGCAGUCGAUACUGCUGUGACUCGAGUCCGGUAGAGGAGAACGGAAUUCCCGGUGUAGCGGUGAAAUGCGCAGAUAUCAGGAGGAACACCGGUGGCGAAGGCGGGUCUCUGGGCCGAUACUGACGCUGAGGAGCGAAAGCGUGGGGAGCGAACAGG
rnacentral:rRNA from 1 species